rnacentral:misc_RNA from 1 species
CAGCGACGGCAUCUCCUCCACGCCUCUUCAGUUGUUGGCACGAGCGCGUGCUCGUCCGAUUCGGGUUAUCCUGUGCUGAGUACCUAUCGAGAUGGCAUUGAGUCGGCUACGAUCGCUCUUUUCCCGCCUUGCUCUGCCGCUCCACCCGGGACGGCGGUGCGAGGUGGGCCGAAUCGCGCACGUUGCGUGUCGCACCGCGUUCGCCGUCACUGGCGUUCGGGUCGACGACCCGCAGCGUUGUGCUCGAUCUCUCGGGUGCGGUGCAUGAUGUGGGUACGAGGCCGUCGGCCUCCGAUCUCCACAAACAAGCGUUCUACGCUUCGUGCGAACGACCGUCGGUUCGGUGCUCGGCCGUGCUCCCGUAGCUCGGUUCAAGCCGUGCCGGCGUCGGUGAGGAAUGCUACCUGGUUGAUCCUGCCAGUAGUCAUUGCCUUUGUCUCAA